UCCUCUCCUGUUCAUUUCCUUUCUUCCCUCUAUUUCUUCAAUCUCUACAUAACCCUAGCAAGACAAUCCCAACAUAUGUCAAUUUCAUCUUCUUUUAGCCAUCGGAGUUAUUAUGGAUUUGGUUAAUGUAUUCCAGUAAAACAUUGCUAUUGUGAUCACGAAGUCAAGCUACGCACAUCAUGGACAAAUGAUAAUCUAGGUCAAAGGUUUUGACAAUGUCAAAAUAAUGGGAACAAUGGAGGUUGUGGAUAUAUGGAGUGGUUUGAUCCUCCAAUUUGUAAGAGGG